rnacentral:rRNA from 1 species
CCUACGGGGGGCACCAGUGAGGAAUAUUGGACAAUGGGCGGGAGCCUGAUCCAGCCAUGCCGCGUGCAGGAAGACUGCCCUAUGGGCUGUAAACUGCUUUUAUACGGGAAGAAACACUCCCUCGUGAGGGAAUUUGACGGUACCGUAAGAAUAAGGAUCGGCUAACUCCGUGCCAGCACCCGCGGUAAUACGGAGGACCCAAGCGUUAUCCGGAAUCAUUGGGUUUAAAGGGUCCGUAGGUGGACGAUUAAGUCAGAGGUGAAAUCUUGCAGCUCAACUGUAAAAUUGCCUUUGAUACUGGUUGUCUUGAGUUAUUAUGAAGUGGUUAGAAUAUGUAGUGUAGCGGUGAAAUGCAUAGAUAUUACAUAGAAUACCAAUUGCGAAGGCAGAUCACUAAUAAUAUACUGACACUGAUGGACGAAAGCGUGGGUAGCGAACAGGAUUAGAUACCCGUGUAGUC